UGGGGAAUCUUGCACAAUGGGCGCAAGCCUGAUGCAGCAACGCCGCGUGAGUGAAGAAGGCCCUUGGGUCGUAAAGCUCUUUCGGUUGGGAAGAAGGGCACUAUGAGUAACUGCUUAGUGUUUGACGGUACCAAAAGAAGAAGCACUGGCUAAUUCCGUGCCAGCAGCCGCGGUAAUACGGAAGGUGCAAGCGUUGUUCGGAUUGACUGGGCGUAAAGAGCACGUAGGCGGAUUUGUAAGUCGAAUGUGAAAUCCCUGGGCUUAACCCGGGAACUGCAUUCGAAACUGUGAAUCUUGAAUACCUGAGGGGUUGGGGGAAUUCCUGGUGUAGGAGUGAAAUCCGUAGAUAUCAGGAGGAAUACCAGAGGCGAAGGCGCCCAACUGGCAGAGUAUUGACGCUAAGGUGCGAAAGCGUGGGGAGCAAACAGG
rnacentral:rRNA from 1 species